AUUGAACGCUGGCGGCAUGCUUUACACAUGCAAGUCGAACGGUAACAGGCCUUCGGGUGCUGACGAGUGGCGAACGGGUGAGUAAUGCAUCGGAACGUACCCAGAGGUGGGGGAUAACGCAGCGAAAGCUGUGCUAAUACCGCAUGUGAUCUGAGGAUGAAAGCGGGGGACCGAGCAGCAAUGUUUGGCCUCGCGCCUUUGGAGCGGCCGAUGUCGGAUUAGCUAGUUGGUGGGGUAAAGGCCUACCAAGGCGACGAUCCGUAGCUGGUCUGAGAGGACGACCAGCCACACUGGGACUGAGACACGGCCCAGACUCCUACGGGGGGCAGCAGUGGGGAAUUUUGGACAAAGGGCGCAAGCCUGAUCCAGCAAUGCCGCGUGCGGGAAGAAGGCCUUCGGGUUGUAAACCGCUUUUGGCAGGAACGAAACGGUGUCCGCUAAUACCGGGCGCUAAUGACGGUACCUGCAGAAUAAGCACCGGCUAACUACGUG
rnacentral:rRNA from 1 species